UACAAUUUUUCUUUUUCUUCAGGCUCUAACGCUGACUCUGCGUGGUUAGCGAAACAGGAAGUGCCUAACACAAAAUACGCAAAGAAGAAAUCUACCGCUCUUCAAAAUAAAGCACAAAUCAACCACUAAGUAUCACUGUGGGACCAAUGAACAAAAAGAAGAAUUUCACCAUUUAGUAGCUAUUUACGGUGACUAGGGCUCCACCACCAGUAAUUUGGAGAGAUGCUCACCUGCAGACAUUGCAUGAGAAGCGUUCACGUAGGUUCGAAGCACGGCUGACGAGCAGGAAGACCCCAGGGUAGCUCGGACUUUUGAAGGUGUCUUUGGACGACGAUUGGCUGGAGUGGCGUGAAGCUCCGGUCCGGAUUGGCUGCGGUCGGGCGUAGUGAUUAGAUGAUGUGGUGAAGCUGGUCGAGUCUCCCAGUUUGAAUUUUCGCCAAGGCUCCAUUU